GACGAACGCUGGCGGCGUGCUUAACACAUGCAAGUCGAACGGAAAGGCCCUGCUUUUGUGGGGUGCUCGAGUGGCGAACGGGUGAGUAACACGUGAGUAACCUGCCCUUGACUUUGGGAUAACUUCAGGAAACUGGGGCUAAUACCGGAUAGGAGCUCCUGCUGCAUGGUGGGGGUUGGAAAGUUUCGGCGGUUGGGGAUGGACUCGCGGCUUAUCAGCUUGUUGGUGGGGUAGUGGCUUACCAAGGCUUUGACGGGUAGCCGGCCUGAGCGGGUGACCGGCCACAUUGGGACUGAGAUACGGCCCAGACUCCUACGGGAGGCAGCAGUGGGGAAUAUUGCACAAUGGGCGGAAGCCUGAUGCAGCAACGCCGCGUGCGGGAUGACGGCCUUCGGGUUGUAAACCGCUUUCGCCUGUGACGAGGCGUGAGUGACGGUAAUGGGUAAAGAAGCACCGGCUAACUACGU
rnacentral:rRNA from 1 species